rnacentral:lncRNA from 1 species
AGGAGCGCUGUGGCCUAGGUCUCUGACUCUUAUUUCACAAGCCGCAGAGAAAAAAAAAAGAACGAAAAAAUGACCUGCUUGAUCGUUCUUUCCCCUCACGAGAUCGACUGCGGUACCCCUAAGUCGGCGGCAUGCAUCUCAAGGUCGGUUGCGCCCCUCUUUCCCCUCACUUUCCCCUCACUCAGAUAAGCCCUCUCACACCUCUUUCCCCUCUCUCUCAACUCCCUCUAACCCUAGAUUUAUUUAAUGAUUUAUGUCAAUUUUGCUAUAUUUAUUUAAUGAUUCAUGUCAAUUUUGAUUUUGAAAAUGUUUCAAAUGAGUUGAUUUUAUAUUUUGGAAUGGAAGGAUUAUAAUAAAUAUUCUAUGUAUGAUUACCAUGAUACCAUCUGCACAUAUAUAUGGAUUGAUUUUCAUCUAAUAGUCGAUUGGAAAACACUUUUGGUUUGUGUUUAUAUAACAUUCAUGAUUCAGGAAACUGGUAUAUGUUCUCCUUUAUCACAUUGUUGUUAAUGUUCUAGUGAUGCAUUUAAUAUAAAUAUCACCUCGACAAAGCCAUAAUAUGAUUGAGUUGGUCUUAGUUAACUAAAAAACAUCUCCUCAUCCAAGGCUUCUAAAUAAUGUGUAAAAUGUGUUUUUUGAAUAUUUAGAAGCAUAGAUUUCAUUUUCACCAAUAAAAUCUUGUAGGAAUAUGAUCUCGAAGGGGUAUCUUUUUCUUGGCAGAGCCAGAAUUUUUCGUCAAGGUGAGGAAAAUUUUGUGCAUUUUUUUUGUUUAUUAUGAAUCUAAGGUUGUUUAUGUAAUGGAUAUGAUUAGUGUUCUAAAAGUCGCUAGUCGGUCCCAUGUCGGUUGGCUAUCGACUAGCGACUAGGGGAUUAAUCGGCUAGUCGGAUUUUCAAUUUUUUUUUUAAAAAUAUAUAUUCUCUUUCCUCCUUCAUAAGUUUUGAAUAAGUAGAAUAACAUAAGUAACACAAAUCAUCAAAUAAAAACAUGGAAACUAAGUAAAACCAAAUAGUUCGACGCUCUAAGUUCAAAACAUGAAAACAAAUUAACCAAAUGAAAUAUAGUGAACUUCUUUGUCCUUUCAAUAGUGUUAUUAUACCUAUGCAUAAAAAUAUAAAAUAAGUCAUUUCUCCAUACCCCAUCAGAUUUUAAUAAUUUAAUUUAUAAUUGAAGUUGAAACAAUUUAAAAAUUAAAAUGAAAUAUUACAAUUAACUAAAAAAUUAAAUAAUUCUAAUUUAUCCAACCUUUUCUUUAAUGCUUAACUAAAACCAAAUAAAAAUUGUAAACUGUUUACAAAAAAAAUAAUUAGAGAAACUGUUAAGUGUUAAGUAUAAGCUUUAUAUCAGUACCUUAUAUCAGAAGAAGUCGAGGCGAGCAGCAGCAGUAGUAGUCGACGAGCAGCGUAGUUGUAGUCGAGGCGAGCAGCAGCAGUAGUCGGCAAGCAGCAGCAGUAUCAGUAGUCGGCGAGAAGCAGCAACAGCAAUAUCGUAGUCGUCGGCGAGAAGGAGUCAAGACUCGUUGUCAUUCGUCGAAGCGUCGUCGUCGGUCAGUCGUCAACGUCGAAGUCGGAGUCGUCGUCGGUCGAAGCAGCGUCGUCGGUCAGGUGAGAAGGAGUCGAGGUUCGUCGCCGUCCGAUUUGCCCCGACUUUUCUGACUAGUCGCCGACUUGAGGCCGACUAAGUCGGCCAGUGACUAAAUCAACUGACUAGGGCCUGGUCAACUCGGCGAGCCUCCGACCCCGACCUAGUUGCCGACUAGUCGGCCGACUAGGCCGACUUUUAGAACACUGGAUAUGAUGUUGUAUUUUAAUCUGUCUAAAAUUUCAUUAUUAUUAAUUCUGACAUUUUCCUUGUAUUUAAUCACCGUCUACCUCAAGUAGAGGGUGCCAUUUGUUUUUCUUUUCCUGAGAGUAAAAAAAUAUAGUACAGAUUACUUGUCACGAACAUAUGCUAGUCACUGCAGAUGCUUAUGCACAAACAAAAAGAAAGGGAAAACACUAUAUUGCUUUUGGUAUGUUCCCUCGUACGCUUGUACUUAAAUUUUGCUAUUGGUAUUGUGGUAUGGAUUAGUUUUGGGAACUUAGAGGCCUUCAAUUCAAAUGAAUUGUCACUGAAGCACUUGGAAGAUACCUUUAUCAUAUGGGAAAGAAUAUAGAAUGCCAAAACCCUAAAAUUCAUUUGGAGGGUGGCCAUCUAGGAUGCAUGUAUACCAUACUUAAUGCUCUACACCACAACCAUUGGUCUAAUGUUAAGAAAAUGCUUUGGUACAAAAGACUUGGCGGUUCAAGCAGGCACAAUGCAAGUAAGUCGUCUCUGUUUGCUCAAAUGUUUAAUGGUCAACCAUUUCAUUUCAUAAUCCUAAUUCUCAAUCUGCAAAGAUUUUUAUGCUUAUAUCAUUGUGUGUUUAAUACUUUUGGAUUUGUAAAUGUAUAUGGAAUAAAAUCUGAUACUAAAGGAUAAGAAUUUAACUUAACUGGAAGGGUCUGUUGAUGCGUCAUAGUUGUACAUAAUUCCAUAUCCUUACAUAAUUCUUUGGUGCAAGUGUUAUCAAGUUUGGGGUUAUCUAUUGUAGUUUUGUGUUAUUAAUUAAUAGCCUCUUUCCUUUUCUUUAGUUUGUGGAGAUCCAGGGAAUGACAAAGCUGCCACUGACAUAGGUGAAGUGCAAGAACACAUUGAUGCUGAAACGAGCAAGUUCCUCGUACGUUCAUUUAAGAUAACUUCGUUACCAUUGGCCUGAGUAACAAAUUCAAACUUAACCUUUGGUUGUUGUUGACCUUUUUUCAGUUAUAAUGUUCUUA